rnacentral:rRNA from 1 species
AUGAGCAUCUCCGUGAACGGGCAGUCGGUGGUGCCGCCGGGGUUCCGGUUCCACCCCACGGAGGAGGAGCUGCUCACCUACUACCUCGCCAAGAAGGUGGCGUCCCAGCGCAUCGACCUCGACGUAAUCCCCGACGUCGACCUCAACAAGCUCGAGCCAUGGGACAUCCAAGAGCGCUGCAGGAUAGGAACAGGCCCGCAGAACGACUGGUACCUGUUCAGCCACAAGGACAAGAAGUACCCCACGGGGACGCGCACCAACCGCGCCACCGCCGCCGGGUUCUGGAAGGCCACCGGCCGGGACAAGGCCAUCUACUCCGCCGCCGGGUCCGGCCGCAUCGGCAUGCGCAAGACCCUCGUCUUCUACAAGGGCCGCGCCCCGCACGGCCACAAGUCGGACUGGAUCAUGCACGAGUACCGCCUCGACGACGCCGUCCCCGCCCCCGCCAACCCCAACAACCCCGCCGCUCCCGGCGACGCCGGCAGUACCUACUACUCCGGCACCUCAUCAUCCCCGAUUCGUGGCCUGGCCGGAGACCAGUCGUCGGGGCAGGAGGACGGAUGGGUCAUCUGCAGGGUGUUCAAGAAGAAGAACAUCGUCGUGAACCAAGGCCAGAACGGCGGCGGCGGCGGCGGAGCGGCGUCCAACAAGCUGGCCGGCGCCGCCCCCAUGGAGCGCAGCCAGAGCAACUGCUCGUCGACGGUGACCACCAUCAGCAACCACAUCAAGGCGGCGCAGCAGCAGCAGCAGGACCAGCAGAACCAGCUGCUGCACUACUCCGCCAGCGACGACGCGCUCGACCACAUCCUCAACCACUACAUGCAUGGCCGCUCCCCCACGACGCCGUGCAAGCAGGAGGCCAAGCCUGCCGCCGGCUCGGCGCUGGACCACCUGAUCAACAGCACCGCGUGCCCGAACGGGACCCUGUACGAGCGGUUCAUGAAGCUCCCGCCGCUCGAGCACGUCGUCUCCGGCGGGCUCCUGCACCCUCCGGCAACCGAGUACGGCGGCGGUUCAGGGAACAACAACAUCGGCACAGAGUGGGACUCGCUCGACCGGCUCGCGGCCUCGUACGAGCUCAACGGCCUCUCCGACGACGUCGCGUCCGCCAGCAAGAACAGCAGCAUGGCGUCCUUCUUCGUGGACGGGCACGGCGGCGCCACCGGCGCCGGCGCCGGGGACGGCGACCUGUGGAGCCUGGCGCGGUCGGUGUCGUCCCUCCACGCGGACUUGACGACGAUGAAUUGA